rnacentral:RNase_P_RNA from 1 species
CAAGCAGAUCACCUUAUCGCUGUUUCGAUUUGUCGAAAGAGAGGAAAGUCCGGACACCAUAGCGCAGUAUAGCGGGUAAUUCCCGUCCGUCGUGAGACGAGGACAAGUGCAGCAGAAAGUAUGUACAGGUAAUGCUGUAGUGAAACCAGGUAAACUCUAUACGGUGCAACGUCAUGUAAACCAACGUCUGAGGGUUGCGCGCCCAAUGUUGGAGGGUAGGCGGUUUGAUUCUGAUAGUAAUAUCAGAGCUAGAUAAAUGAUAAGGACCCAUCUUUUGUGGUUACAGAAUCCGGCUUAUGAUCUGCUUUUUUU